AUUGAACGCUGGCGGCAGGCCUAACACAUGCAAGUCGAACGAGUGGCGGACGGGUGAGUAAUGUCUGGGAAACUGCCCGAUGGAGGGGGAUAACUACUGGAAACGGUAGCUAAUACCGCAUACCAUCGGAUGUGCCCAGAUGGGAUUAGAUAGUAGGUGGGGUAAGGGCUCACCUAGGCGACGAUCCAUAGCUGGUCUGAGAGGAUGACAAGCCACACUGGAACUGAGACACGGUCCAGACUCCUACGGGAGGCAGAAGUGGGGAAUAUUGCACAAUGGGCGAAAGCCUGCUGAAGCCAUGCCGCGUGUAUGAAGAAGUCCUUCGGGUUGUAAAGUACUUUCAGCGAGGAGGCGUUACCCGCAGAAGAAGCACCGGCUAACUCCGUGCCAGCAGCCGCGGUAAUUC
rnacentral:rRNA from 1 species